rnacentral:rRNA from 1 species
AUCGACAUCCCGCCAUGUUGGUGUGGAGAUGUUUGCAAGGUGAAGGUGUCCACCGACCGAAAGAAAUCAUGGACGGAAGGGCGGAGAUGUUUUGUAUGCCCGAACUAUGCUUAUGAUCGUGCACUUCCAACUAACGCUUGUGACCAACCACCGGUAAGCUCGAGAAGUAAAAUGUUACUCUCAAAUGUGUGUCAACACUAA